GAGAGAGAGAGAGAAAGAGAAAAAAAAAGGUAAUUUUAAUGGAUAGAAGAGGGUAGGCGGAGUUUCUAAAGAGUUCAUAAUUAAGAAGCAAACGAGAUCAAAUCCGAUUCUAAAUCAAGACGCAGUUCGAUACUCCAUUUUCUUUGAGGACAUGAGGGAGACCCCAAUAUUGGUAUUGCAAGACGGCGCUUAAGUCAUUGACAAGAGAAAUGACAAGAGAAUCAACGA